rnacentral:lncRNA from 1 species
GGCGCAGCCGGGUGUUCCCGCUGGAGACGUCGCCCCCCUCUUCGAGAAGGAGCAGCCCGUGACCGCACCGUCGUCGCUGGGGAUAGGGAGCACCUGGGUUCCCAGCCCGGCCCUGCCACCUGCCAGGGUGUGUGAUGUGGGAGAAGCCGCUUCGCUUCUGGCCCCAGGCUCGUCUGCGCUUGGAGUAAAUCACUCCCUCUCCUGGUGGUUGUGAGGAUUAGGAAUAAUGCAGGAGCUCACGCUAAAAUUCCAUGUGCUAGGCUCUCCUGCCUGGCCCACAUGCUGCCAAUCAAGACCCGGGUUCAAGUUUUGUCUGCAACUGACUUGCUGAAUGACCGUGGGAAAUUUGCCUUCCCUCUCUGGUCUUCAGUUUCGUCUUCUGCAAUUGGAUGAUGAAGGUCCCCACCUCACUAAACUGUUGGGAGGUUUAAAUAAGAUGGCCCUUGAGAAAGUGUGAGUGAGCCACCUGUGUCAGACUCUGCCAACCACUGUCCUUGAAAAACUCCUUUCUUUUGGCUUCCAUGACAACAGGGACUCCGGGUUUUCUUCUACCUCACAGUCUUUGCAAGCCUUACACAUCCCUUUGGAGUUAGUGCGCCCUGGGGUUCUCUCUUAGGCGCCCCUCUGUUCCUUGCUGAGGGGUGACUCGGCGACUGUGUCCUCUCUAAGCCUUCAGGGUCCAGCAGUGCGUGCAGCCCAGACCUUUCUUCUAUGGGUCCCAAUAUUUACAGGACACCUCCACUCACAUGGGUCCCACAGGAACCUCACAUUUAACACCUCCUAAGCUAAACAUGCCAUCUUCUAUCACAAAACCUUAGGGCCACAUCCCGGUCCUCCAUCCUCCGCAGGUCGGAGAGAAAGCUGAGAGCCUUCUCAAGGCUUCCCUCUCUCCCAUCCCCCUGCUAUCCAAACAUCCACUAAGUCAAAUCAUUUUCCCUCUUUCAUGUCCCUUCAGUCUGUCUUUUCCAUUCCCGCUGUCACUGUCCCAGUCUUGGCCAUUGCUGUAUUGCUCACUUGGGAGACAGCAGCAGCAUCCUAACUUGUCACUCUGUCUCCGAUCUUACUCCCUCCAAUCCGUUCUCUGUGCUAAAACCAAAAUAACCUUCCUAAAAUACCAGUCUUGCCUCACUCCUCAUGUUACUUCCCAGCCCUCCAAACUCUAACCAUGUGGAACUCAUUUCUCUUCUCAGAGUGCCUGGCGUCUGGGCCUUCUCACAUGCUGUUCUCCCUGGAACGCUGGCAUUCCCUCUUGCUUGGCUCACUCCGCCUUGUCCUACAGAUCUCCACCUAGACACUUUUGCAUAGCUUUCCCUGGCCUCCCCAACCCCUGCCUAACUUAGGCACCCCUCCUGUUUGCUCUUAAAGUGGGAAUACGUGAACUCCUAUCUCAUGGUGAAGGUUUUGAUGCAGACUUUCUAGAAAGCAAAAGUAAAUGUGUGUCAGAAUCUUUUAAUAUGUCUAUAUCCUUCAACCCAGCAAUUCCUCUUUUGAGAAAUUUAAGAAAACCUUAAAGAUG